rnacentral:tRNA from 1 species
GGGAUUGUAGUUCAAUAGGYUAGAGCACCGCCCUGUCAAGGCGGACGUUGCGGGUUCGAGCCCCGUCAGUCCCG